UGGAGGCAUGAGAAGGUGGUGCAGUUCUACCAUGCUGCAGUUUACUGGUAUUAUCCUCCUACAGAAACAAUGCUGAUGCUUAUUUUUUUCCCCCGCUCCCUUGGGUGAAAACAUCUUGCAUGUAGCAU